GACGAACGCUGGCGGCGUGCCUAAUACAUGCAAGUAGAACGCUGAAGCUUGGUGCUUGCACCGAGCGGAUGAGUUGCGAACGGGUGAGUAACGCGUAGGUAACCUGCCUGGUAGCGGGGGAUAACUAUUGGAAACGAAAGCUAAUACCGCAUAAGAGUAGAUGUUGCAUGACAUUUGCUUAAAAGGUGCAAUUGCAUCACUACCAGAUGGACCUGCGUUGUAUUAGCUAGUUGGUGAGGUAACGGCUCACCAAGGCAACGAUACAUAGCCGACCUGAGAGGGUGAUCGGCCACACUGGGACUGAGACACGGCCCAGACUCCUACGGGAGGCAGCAGUAGGGAAUCUUCGGCAAUGGACGGAAGUCUGACCGAGCAACGCCGCGUGAGUGAAGAAGGUUUUCGGAUCGUAAAGCUCUGUUGUAAGAGAAGAACGAGUGUGAGAGUGGAAAGUUCACACUGUGACGGUAUCUUACCAGAAAGGGACGGCUAACUACGUG
rnacentral:rRNA from 1 species